UACAGAGGGUGCAAGCGUUAAUCGGAAUUACUGGGCGUAAAGCGCGCGUAGGUGGUUUGUUAAGUUGGAUGUGAAAUCCCCGGGCUCAACCUGGGAACUGCAUCCAAAACUGGCAAGCUAGAGUAUGGUAGAGGGUGGUGGAAUUUCCUGUGUAGCGGUGAAAUGCGUAGAUAUAGGAAGGAACACCAGUGGCGAAGGCGACCACCUGGACUGAUACUGACACUGAGGUGCGAAAGCGUGGGGAACAAACAGG
rnacentral:rRNA from 1 species